GACGAACGCUGGCGGCGUGCCUAAUACAUGCAAGUCGAACGCACUCUCGUUUAGAUUGAAGGAGCUUGCUCCUGAUUGAUAACAUUUGAGUGAGUGGCGGACGGGUGAGUAACACGUGGGUAACCUGCCCUAAAGUGGGGGAUAACAUUUGGAACAGAUGCUAAUACCGCAUAAACCUAACACCGCAUGGUGUAGGGUUGAAAGAUGGUUUCGGCUAUCACUUUAGGAUGGACCCGCGGUGCAUUAGUUAGUUGGUGAGGUAAAGGCUCACCAAGACCGUGAUGCAUAGCCGACCUGAGAGGGUAAUCGGCCACACUGGGACUGAGACACGGCCCAGAC
rnacentral:rRNA from 1 species